rnacentral:rRNA from 1 species
GAGAGCGGCGGACGGGUGAGUAAUGCCUAGGAAUCUGCCUGGUAGUGGGGGAUAACGUUCGGAAACGGACGCUAAUACCGCAUACGUCCUACGGGAGAAAGCAGGGGACCUUCGGGCCUUGCGCUAUCAGAUGAGCCUAGGUCGGAUUAGCUAGUUGGUGGGGUAAUGGCUCACCAAGGCGACGAUCCGUAACUGGUCUGAGAGGAUGAUCAGUCACACUGGAACUGAGACACGGUCCAGACUCCUACGGGAGGCAGCAGUGGGGAAUAUUGGACAAUGGGCGAAAGCCUGAUCCAGCCAUGCCGCGUGUGUGAAGAAGGUCUUCGGAUUGUAAAGCACUUUAAGUUGGGAGGAAGGGCCAUUACCUAAUACGUGAUGGUUUUGACGUUACCGACAGAAUAAGCACCGGCUAACUCUGUGCCA